UACGGAGGGGGUUAGCGUUGUUCGGAAUGACUGGGCGUAAAGCGCGCGUAGGCGGGCUGGAAAGUUGGGGGUGAAAUCCCGGGGCUCAACCCCGGAAUGGCCUUCAAAACUCCCAGCCUAGAGUUCGAGAGAGGUGAGUGGAAUUCCGAGUGUAGAGGUGAAAUUCGUAGAUAUUCGGAGGAACACCAGUGGCGAAGGCGGCUCACUGGCUCGACACUGACGCUGAGGUGCGAAAGCGUGGGGAG
rnacentral:rRNA from 1 species